GAUGAACGCUGGCGGCGUGCUUAACACAUGCAAGUCGAACGAUGAUCCGGUGCUUGCACCGGGGAUUAGUGGCGAACGGGUGAGUAACACGUGAGUAACCUGCCCUUGACUCUGGGAUAAGCCUGGGAAACUGGGUCUAAUACCGGAUAUGACUCCUCAUCGCAUGGUGGGGGUGGAAAGCUUUUGCGGUUUUGGAUGGACUCGCGGCCUAUCAGCUUGUUGGUGAGGUAAUGGCUUACCAAGGCGACGACGGGUAGCCGGCCUGAGAGGGUGACCGGCCACACUGGGACUGAGACACGGCCCAGACUCCUACGGGAGGCAGCAGUGGGGAAUAUUGCACAAUGGGCGCAAGCCUGAUGCAGCGACGCCGCGUGAGGGAUGACGGCCUUCGGGUUGUAAACCUCUUUCAGUAGGGAAGAAGCGAAAGUGACGGUACCUGCAGAAGAAGCGCCGGCUAACUACGUG
rnacentral:rRNA from 1 species